GACGAACGCUGGCGGCGUGCUUAACACAUGCAAGUCGAACGGAAAGGCCCUUCGGGGUCCUCGAGUGGCGAACGGGUGAGUAACACGUGGGUGAUCUGCCCUGCACUUUGGGAUAAGCCUGGGAAACUGGGUCUAAUACCGAAUAGGACCACGCGCUUCAUGGUGUGUGGUGGAAAGCUUUUGCGGUGUGGGAUGGGCCCGCGGCCUAUCAGCUUGUUGGUGGGGUAAUGGCCUACCAAGGCGACGACGGGUAGCCGGCCUGAGAGGGUGACCGGCCACACUGGGACUGAGAUACGGCCCAGACUCCUACGGGAGGCAGCAGUGGGGAAUAUUGCACAAUGGGCGCAAGCCUGAUGCAGCGACGCCGUGUGAGGGAUGACGGCCUUCGGGUUGUAAACCUCUUUCAAUAGGGACGAAGCGCAAGUGACGGUACCUAUAGAAGAAGCACCGGCCAACUACGUG
rnacentral:rRNA from 1 species